UGACUUCACCACAAUGAAAUAUAUCAAUGUACCAAAUUGCACUUACACCCCUUGAAUGUAUAUAUUAAAAAAAAAAAAGAAUAGAAUACAGCAAAAGUAAUAGAAAUAAAUUUGCAAGUUUGGGUUAGGAAAAACUAGAAACUCUCACACACUCUCUCUCUUUCCUCUCAUUUAAUCCCACCGAUGAAGCCAGUUUUCAUGUUCUCAGCUGCCCUACUGAGAAGACCACCUGGUCAGAAACAGCCAGCAAAGAACUAAAGCCCUCAAUCAGACUAUCCACAAGGACUGAACCCUGCCAAUGAGUAGAUACACGAACUUGGAAGCAUAUUCUUCUGUAUUCCGGUCUUGAGAUGAUUGCAACCCUGGCUGACCCUUUGAUUGUAAGAGAUCCAGUGACCCCAGUUAAGGUGUACCUGGAUUUCAGCCCCAUGGAAACGAUGAGAUAUUACAGCAGUUGGUGGAAAUGUCUGUGAAACAUCUUUAAGAAGAGCAACCUUUAAUGAGGUGAGGGUA
rnacentral:lncRNA from 10 species